rnacentral:rRNA from 1 species
CCUACGGGUGGCAGUAGUGAGGAAUAUUGGUCAAUGGGCAUAAGCCUGAACCAGCCAAGUCGCGUGAGGGAUGAAGGUUCUAUGGAUCCUACACCUCUUUUAUAAGGGAAUAAAGUGUGGGACGUGUCCCGUUUUGUAUGUACCUUAUGAAUAAGGAUCGGCUAACUCCGUGCCAGCAGCCGCGGUAAUACGGAGGAUACGAGGGUUAUCCGGAUUUAUGGGGUUUAAAGGGUGCGUAGGCGGCCUUUAAGGCAGCGGUGAAAGUCUGUGGCUCAACCAUAGAAUUGCCGUUGAAACUGGGAGGCUUGAGUAUGUUAUAGGCAGGCGGAAUGCUUGGUGUAGCGGUGAAAUGCUUAGAUAUCACGCAGAGCCCCGAUUGCGAAGGCAGCCUGCCAAGCCAUGACUGACGCUGAUGCACGAAAGCGUGGGGAUCAAACAGGAUUAGAUACCCUGGUAGUC